rnacentral:rRNA from 1 species
GACGAACGCUGGCGGCGUGCUUAACACAUGCAAGUCGAACGGAAAGGCCCUGCUUUUGUGGGGUGCUCGAGUGGCGAACGGGUGAGUAACACGUGAGUAACCUGCCUUUGACUUUGGGAUAACUUCAGGAAACUGGGGCUAAUACCGGAUAGGAGCUCCUGCUGCAUGGUGGGGGUUGGAAAGUUUCGGCGGUUGGGGAUGGACUCGCGGCUUAUCAGCUUGUUGGUGGGGUAGUGGCUUACCAAGGCUUUGACGGGUAGCCGGCCUGAGAGGGUGACCGGCCAAAUUGGGACUGAGAUACGGCCCAGACUCCUACGGGAGGCAGCAGUGGGGAAUAUUGCACAAUGGGCGGAAGCCUGAUGCAGCAACGCCGCGUGCGGGAUGACGGCCUUCGGGUUGUAAACCGCUUUCGCCUGUGACGAAGCGUGAGUGACGGUAAUGGGUAAAGAAGCACCGGCUAACUACGUG